rnacentral:rRNA from 1 species
GAUGAACGCUGGCGGCGUGCCUAAUACAUGCAAGUCGAGCGAACAGACGAGGAGCUUGCUCCUCUGACGUUAGCGGCGGACGGGUGAGUAACACGUGGAUAACCUACCUAUAAGACUGGGAUAACUUCGGGAAACCGGAGCUAAUACCGGAUAAUAUAUUGAACCGCAUGGUUCAAUAGUGAAAGACGGUUUUGCUGUCACUUAUAGAUGGAUCCGCGCCGCAUUAGCUAGUUGGUAAGGUAACGGCUUACCAAGGCGACGAUGCGUAGCCGACCUGAGAGGGUGAUCGGCCACACUGGAACUGAGACACGGUCCAGACUCCUACGGGAGGCAGCAGUAGGGAAUCUUCCGCAAUGGGCAAAAGCCUGACGGAGCAACGCCGCGUGAGUGAUGAAGGUCUUCGGAUCGUAAAACUCUGUUAUUAGGGAAGAACAAAUGUGUAAGUAACUAUGUACGUCUUGACGGUACCUAAUCAGAAAGCCACGGCUAACUACGUG